rnacentral:snRNA from 1 species
UUUGUUGAGCCGUCACACGGA